GACGAAGCGUGCGAACGUUGUUCGGAAUCACUGGGCGUAAAGGGUGCGUAGGCGGGUUGUCCUGUCUGGGGUGAAAACCCACGGCUCAACCGUGGAAUUGCCUCAGAUACUGACGACCUCGAGGGAGGUAGGGGCGAGCGGAACUGUGGGUGGAGCGGUGAAAUGCGUUGAUAUCCACAGGAACUCCGGGGGCGAAGGCGGCUCGCUGGACCUCUUCUGACGCUGAGGCACGAAAGCUAGGGGAGCAAACGGG
rnacentral:rRNA from 1 species